ACAGACGUGCCCCCUCUUCGUCGUGUUUUACGUGAAAUCGUUACUUUACAUUAUUCUGUAAACCCUGGUAGCCUGUUGCUGUGUUGUGGCUGCAGCAGCAGCUCCACAUAACAGACGUGGGGGAAAAAAUCGCUAAUGGUUUAACUUUUCACCGGUUCCUGCUCGGAGGCAGAACCUCCAAACAUCUGAGAUAACAAACAGUCGUCGGCUCGCUUGGCUGUAAGACGACCAAAUAUAACCUUCCACAUUAUCCCGAUGUCGAUGAGAGUCUGCUCCCUGCAUUUUCAUUCUGGAAAACCAGCAAAUGAAAUGUACAGCUCCCACCCAGACUGAGCCCCAUCUCUCAACCUGGGCCACACUAAGAUAAAUGUCACAUCGACUGCACGCUAUGAGAGAAGGGAAGGAGAAAACGGCGGAGGACUGACAGUACACCUGCGAUGGAUGACACAGUUAUGGAUGACCUUCUUCCAGCAGUGGAGACACCAGCACCAGUAGACGAUGGACCUGACCAGAGACCGCUGA